rnacentral:rRNA from 1 species
AACGAACGCUGGCGGCAUGCCUAACACAUGCAAGUCGAACGAGACCUUCGGGUCUAGUGGCGCACGGGUGCGUAACGCGUGGGAACUUGCCCUUAGGUUCGGAAUAACUCCCCGAAAGGGGUGCUCAUACCGGUUAAUGUCUUCGGACCAAAGAUUUAUCGCCUUUGGAUGGGCCCGCGUUGGAUUAGCCAGUUGGUAGUGUAAAAGCCUACCAAGGCGACGAUCCAUAGCUGGUCGGUGAGGAGGAUCAGCCGCGCUGGCACUGAGACACGGCCCAGACUCCGACGGGGGGGAGCAGUGGGGAAUAUUAGACGAGGGGCGAAAGCCUGGUCCAGCAGUGCCGCGUGAGUGAUGAAGGCCUUAGGGUUGUAAAGCUCUUUUACCCGGGAUGAUAAUGACAGUACCGGGAGAAUAAGCUCCGGCUAACUCCGUG